rnacentral:rRNA from 1 species
GAGAGCUUGCUUUCUAGAGACCGGCGGAUGGGUGAGUAACGCGUAUGCAACCUACCUUUUACAGGGGAAUAGCCCGGAGAAAUUCGGAUUAAUGCUCCAUGGUUUAUAUGAAUGGCAUCGUUUAUAUAAUAAAGAUUUAUCGGUAAAAGAUGGGCAUGCGUAUCAUUAGCUAGUUGGUGUGGUAACGGCAUACCAAGGCGACGAUGAUUAGGGGUCCUGAGAGGGAGAUCCCCCACACUGGUACUGAGACACGGACCAGACUCCUACGGGAGGCAGCAGUGAGGAAUAUUGGUCAAUGGAGGCAACUCUGAACCAGCCAUGCCGCGUGCAGGAUGACGGUCCUAUGGAUUGUAAACUGCUUUUGUACGGGAAGAAAUGUAAUUACGUGUAAUUAUUUGACGGUACCGUAAGAAUAAGGAUCGGCUAACUCCGUGCCAGCAGCCGCGGUAAUACGGAGGAUCCGAGCGUUAUCCGGAAUUAUUGGGUUUAAAGGGUUCGUAGGCGGUUUAGUAAGUCAGUGGUGAAAUCUUAUAGCUUAACUAUAAAAUUGCCGUUGAUACUGCUAAACUUGAAUAGUAUGGAAGUAAUUAGAAUAUGUAGUGUAGCGGUGAAAUGCUUAGAUAUUACAUGGAAUACCAAUUGCGAAGGCAGAUUACUACGUACUUAUUGACGCUGAUGAACGAAAGCGUGGGUAGCGAACAGGAUUAGAUACCCUGGUAGUCCACGCCGUAAACGAUGGAUACUAGCUGUUCGGUUUUCGGACUGAGUGGCUAAGCGAAAGUGAUAAGUAUCCCACCUGGGGAGUACGUUCGCAAGAAUGAAACUCAAAGGAAUUGACGGGGGCCCGCACAAGCGGUGGAGCAUGUGGUUUAAUUCGAUGAUACGCGAGGAACCUUACCAAGGCUUAAAUGUAGAUUGACAGGUUUAGAGAUAGACUUUUCUUCGGACAAUUUACAAGGUGCUGCAUGGUUGUCGUCAGCU